rnacentral:rRNA from 1 species
UAACGCGUGGGUAACCUGCCUCAUACAGGGGAAUAGCAGCUGGAAACGGCUGAUAAAACCGCAUAAGCGCACAGUGCCGCAUGGCACAGUGUGAAAAACUCCGGUGGUAUGAGAUGGACCCGCGUCUGAUUAGCUGGUUGGCGGGGUAACGGCCUACCAAGGCGACGAUCCAUAGCCGGCCUGAGAGGGUGAACGGCCACAUUGGGACUGAGACACGGCCCAG